UAGUUCGUUUGUUUGUCCUGGAGAUGACCAUUUAUUAUGCGCAAAUUUUUUAGCGCAAACCACAUUUAUGAUGGUGUUGGAAAGAUAUUUAUUAGAUGUGCGGUUGUGAUUUGAUUUUUGUUGCAGCCUGUGCUGUAAGCGGAGCAAUUUAUGGCGUACUUUUAUGGUUCACUGGGUGUCCUUGCAUAUACUCGUGUCUAUAUCGAAAUAAAAUGAGGAAGCAGCUGAUGUUCGAGGACAGACCUUGUAAUGAUUGCUUGGUUCAUUUCUGCUGUGAUGCUUGUGCCCUGUGUCAGGAGUACAGAGAGCUCAAACAUCGUGGAUUUGAUAUGACAAUGGGUAAGCUCCUCGGGUGCUCAUUCCCUUGCCUCUUCAAUGAUUAAUUGCAUAAGUGAUGCUAUAUCCCUUCUGGGCUGUGCUCUGUGGAUCUAUAUCAGUUGGUUUUUUCUUUCGUAGGUUGGCAAGAGAAUGUGGAGAGACAAAAUGGUGGAGUGACCAUGAUCGCAUCAGCACCGACCGUUGAACAAGGCAUGAAACGCUGAAUGAGCCAUGCAUGCUCUGAAUGUUUGUGUGUUAUAUGUACGGUAGAAGAGAAAGAAGAAGAAUUCAAAAAGAAGAAGAAUAAAAGAUGUGAUCAAGAUUGUGCCGUUGGCAUCCUUGUAUGUUUUGUGCUGCUAUAUUUCUCUUUUCUUGUAUUUGUUUAUUUUUAUUGAUUGAGAUCACAAAAGCAAUGUUCCUCAAUCUUGUACGAUAAUAGUCUGCUUCAAUCGAAUGUAAGAUAUCUAUCAUUUUUUAAUCAUUUGUUUAAUUCUUGAUCGAUCAUUGAUUAAAUUUGAACAAAAAUCCAUCCAAUCAAUAGUUGACAUGCGUCCACCAGGAGGAUGGAAACCUUGCCAUUACGAACUGUGGCGCUAGUGAUGGUGUUCCUGUUGGGCGGCAUAUUUGUUUGUUCUUCUAUCUGUUAUCGAAACUGAAGAAUCCGUCCUCGACAUCUUCUCUCCCCGCAUCUCCUUCUCGUCCUCCCUGUUGGAAGAUAUACAUGGCCGCCAACGCGUUGAGCCUAGCUGUCUAGCAUUUUAAUAUUCUGGAUAGCUUGCUUUCUUUUGACACCUAAGGUGCCUUAAAAUGAUAUUAACUAGAAAAUUAAAACAAGUCGGCUAAAUAUUGUUGAACAAACAUUAUCCACUCACCCGUAUAGUGGAUAUACAGUGUAUAUUUCAAUAAUUCAUUUUAGCACUUGAUGUUUUAUUUUAGGCGAUUUAAUCUUAAUUAAAGAUUGCUUCUGAUAUUUUAGGCAAGGGUGGAAUUGAAAGGAGAUGGACCAAAAUUAAAAGGACGUCAAAUAUGGGAGACGUGCCAAAUUAUUUUUUGUAAAUACACUUAAAUCCUCAAACUUAAAAAAUAACACAAAUUAUACAAUUUAGGUCCCUUUAGAUUCCACAAAAAUCAAUUUUGGUACAAAAUUUUAUUUAUAGUAUUUUUUAGUUCCUGAUUAGAAAAAAGAGAGACAGAAAGAGGUCGCUAUAUUCAGCGAUGAAAGAGAAUGUCGUCGUUCAAGCCAUUUCCGACCACCAAAAUAGAUGUUUUUUUGUCCAUGUGUUCCAUAAGAUAUGUAGGGCUUGAUUGUGUUGUUUACAACCUCAAUGUUGCAUGAAAAAAGAAAUCUAAACUAAGGACGAUAAAUCUAACCCAGUUUGAUUUCAUGUUUUUUUUUUAACUUUUUUUUUGGUAUUUUUAGUUGAUAAAUCGGUUUAUGGGUGCUCCAAAGAUGUUAAUGAGGUGUUUUUUUGAUUGAAAUAACUUAUAAAAUAGGUUUUUAAACAAAAAAAAAAAAACACUCUUUAAUUUUCUAGCAGCUAGUAAAUGGCCAGAAUAUGAGUUCACGGACAAUUUUUGUUUUCAUCGUUCACUCUUUUAAAAAAUAUCUAAAAAAUAAAAUCAAUCUCAGUGUGUGGACUUGAGGUUAAAGACCCACUCGUACGCGCUAGGCUUUUCCUUGUAAUAGUAGAGGCGGAGUAUUAGGUUCACCCUAUUAGAGUUGAAGCUGUUAGAUUCAAUUCAAAUAUGGAUGUUGAACGGGCCGAGACUAAAUCUCUUAAAGAUCUGGCCUCCAUUUAGGACAGUGUAAAGUACCCAGAUUUUUCUUUUGACAGGGGUUACAGAUUAAAAUACUUGAUUGGAAGCUAGCAAUUUUAAAAUCAGAUUGAUAUAUAUAAACUAGGCUCAAAUUCAGUUAAUUUUAGUCGAUCUUGUUUUAUCCCUUCUUAUUAAUGGAUUCAUAUUUAAGUUUUUGGUGUUUUAUUCAUAUUUAAGAUGGAUAAUAGUGGUGAAGGCAUUUCAAAUAUUAAAUCAAUUAUAAUAGUAAACAGAUAAUAUUUAUUAUUAUUUUUAGUUAUAAAAUAUUAUAAACUAUAAAGGUAAUGAAUGUAAAGUAAAGAACAGCUUCGUCAGUCACCAUGUUCGAACAUUAAGAGAGUCAAGGUCAUUUUUCAUUUCAAUUUUCAAGCAAAUUACUAAUGUCCUUAUAUAUUACUUUAGUAACUGGUAGCUACACUUCUUGUGUGGGAUAAUCUUAUUAUAUUUAAUAUGAUUUUAAAUAUAAACUUUAAUAAAUAAGAAUAUUUAAUAACUACCUAUAUAAUAGGCGGAUGCACCUCCAUAGAGCUCUGGUUUCUACCAAACUAGACGAGUGAUAUUUUUUGGAAAUUAAUUGAACAAGCCUCGAUCUAAUUAAUAUAAAAAAUUAACAAUAUGAUAUUUUUAUUCCAAUUUUUAAUCAAGCAUGAAUAGAAAAAUAAUGUUAUUUUCAAAUAGUCUUAAACCUUCAAACUUGAAAAUGCAUUAUUAUCUAUAACGCACAACAAAUAUAACACAAACAAAGAAUCAUUAAUUGCUAUUCUUACAGAAACAAGAAAUAGAAAGUGAUUUAUAGUAUUGUCUUUGCAAAUAAAGAAGAAGAAGAAUAUCCUACAUUUUCGAAUCAAGAAAAGAAAGUAAUAACUUUCUAUCACUGGGUUCCCAGAAAAAUAUGUUCUCUCCGUCAAUAACUAGGUGAAGCCUUACGUCAACCAUAGAUGCCUGGUGUGCAAGUAGGGGCCAUGCGUGUUAAUUUUGGAGGCAAUUUUGACCACACCCUCGGUUUUCUGGGAAACAGUGUUCUGAUGAAGAUUUAUAAUUUUAUUCACUGCUGUAACAGAUUAUCAUAAUAUAUAGUUUCAUAAACUAUAGAAAAAAUAUUCUUUCAAAACCAUUUAAUUGUGGAACGUCUACAACUUUGAACACUUCUAUAUAUUUUGGUUUUUUUAUGAUGGUUCGCGGUAUAAUUUCUUAAAAAUCUUAUGAGAAAUCUGGAAAAACGGAUCAGAUAAUAGUUUUUAGGGUUAAUUACAUAAAAACUCAUGAAUUAUAGUUUAUUAUCAAAGUUGUCCUUCAGUGACAUGUGGUAACUCUUUUCAUGUCUAAUCAAUUAUUUAGAAGGUGACGUGUUAUUUUAUUAAGUUUAUCUUCUUACAACGUCACCGGCAUUGCAAACACAUUAGUUUAUUGUUUAUGAAACUCGAAGGACACUAGCCAGGAAACUCCAUGGAAGCUGACAUUUCAACUCGUGUUUAAUUAUUGCAGAUCAGACAGGGCACCAGUUUAGACCUCGUUUUGAGUUACCGGUGAAAAGUUCACGCGUGUUACUAUCUCAAGUGUUUAAUAUCAUCCUCUAGGACCUCUACUCUCAAAUUCUCAAUGUCAAGUUGCCUUCAUUCUGACCCCGCUUGACCGGCUCUCUCUGCGUUCAAAUACACGUAAAAAAAUGGCGACGAAUUCACGUGGUCAUGGCGGCUGAUCACUACUUGAAAAAUACAACUGUCUAAACCUCCUCUUAUCUUCACUCGUAUGAUGGUUCAUAUAUAUAUGCGCAUUCCUCUGCUAACUAAUAGUGCACAAAUUCAGCAAAAACACUUCGAUUCUACUCCUUUAAUUAUUGCAGAUCAGACAGGGCACCAGUUUAGACAGGAAACUCCAUGGAAGCUAACAUUUCAACUCGUAUUUAAUUAUUGCAGAUCAGACAGGGCACCAGUUUAGACCUCGUUUUGAGUUACCGGUGAAAAGUUAACGCGUGCUACUAUCUCAAGUGUUUAAUAUCAUCCCCUAGGACCUCUACUAUCAAAUUCUCAAUGUCAAGUUGCCUUCAUUCUGACCCCGCUUCACCGGCUCUCUCUGCGUUCAAAUACACGUAAAAAAAUGGCGACGAAUUCACGUGGUCAUGGCGGCUGAUCACUACUUGAAAAAUACAAGUGUCUAAACCUCCUCUUAUCUUCACUCGUAUUAUGGUUCAUAUAUAUAUGCGCAUUCCUCUGCUAACUGAUAGUGCACAAAUUCAGCAAAAACACUUCGAUUCUACUCCUUUCAUCACUUUCUUAGCUAGUCGACGACAUUGUUGCUGCUUCAAUACAUUCUUUCCACGGUCUACGUACUAUCUGUCAUCAGCAUGUAUCCAUCAAAGCAAGACACCGCUCAUGAGAUGAACCAAAAGCCAUCACCUCCCUUGCCACCAGUACCGGUGACCGGCCAUCCAGUAGGACACUUCACAAACCAGCAUCACAAUGAGAUUCAUUCUCACCCCAUUCAGCAUCAACAGCAGCAGCCCGGUCGUUGGUCCUCCGGUCUUUGUGACUGCUUCUCUGACAUCCCUAAUUGUAAGUUCUUUCAGAUGAUUUGGAUUUCAAUUAUCAGUAACAUUCAUUUUGUAGCAAAUGCUGGAUUUCUAUUUACAUUAGAAUCAAAUCUUUUUUUUCUUUGAGUAGAAGCGAAUAUAUCUUUUAACCUGUUUUUAUAAAAAUCAACGAAUGUUAAACAUAAUUGAAGUGAAAGAUGCAAUUACACUAAAUUUAUUUAUGAUUGAAAAAAACAAUUUCUAAAAAUCAUGGCAACCGAAACCUUACUAAUUAGCUGCUUAACAUUUGCUGCUAUCAAUUGGUUGCAGGUUGCAUCACAUGUUGGUGCCCUUGCAUCACUUUUGGACGGAUCGCUGAGAUUGUAGACAAAGGAACAACAUGUGAGUACAGUACUACUAGUUCGUUUGUUUGUUCUGGAGAUGACCAUUUAUUAUGUGCAAAUUUUUUAGCGCAAGCCACAUUUAUGAUGGUGUUGGAAAGUUAAUAUUUAUUAGAUGUGCGGUUGUGAUUUGAUUUUUGUUGCAGCCUGUGCUGUAAGUGGAGCAAUUUAUGGCGUACUUUUAUGGUUCACUGGGUGUCCUUGCAUAUACUCGUGUCUAUAUCGAAAUAAAAUGAGGAAGCAGCUGAUGUUCGAGGACAGACCUUGUAAUGAUUGCUUGGUUCAUUUCUGCUGUGAUGCUUGUGCUCUGUGUCAGGAGUACAGAGAGCUCAAACAUCGUGGAUUUGAUAUGACAAUGGGUAAGCUCCUCGGGUGCUCAUUCCCUUACCUCUUCAAUGAUCGAUAAAUUGCAUAAGUGAUGCUAUAUCCCUUCUGGGCUGUGCUCUGUGGAUCUAUAUCAGUUGGUUUUUUCUUUCGUAGGUUG
rnacentral:lncRNA from 1 species